CUAAACCAUGCACCGAAGCUGCGGCAGCGAACGUAUCACCCAAGACAACUUUACGGAGUUGACGAUUGACGGAGCGAAGCGACGUCAAAGCGUUCAUUAAAGUCGAGUUGGCUUAGGGAUACGUUCGUUGGGUAGGGGAGCGUUCUGUAAGCCUGUGAAGGUGUGUCGUGAGGCAUGCUGGAGGUAUCAGAAGUGCGAAUGCUGACAUAAGUAACGAUAAAGCGGGUGAAAAGCCCGCUCGCCGGAAGACCAAGGGUUCCUGUCCAACGUUAAUCGGGGCAGGGUGAGUCGACCCCUAAGGCGAGGCCGAAAGGCGUAGUCGAUGGGAAACGGGUUAAUAUUCCCGUACUUGGUGUUACUGCGAAGGGGGGACGGAGAAGGCUAUGUUGGCCGGGCGACGGUUGUCCCGGUUUAAGCGUGUAGGUGUGUGUUCCAGGUAAAUCCGGUUCACUUUAACACUGAGGCGUGACGACGAGGCACUACGGUGCUGAAGCAACAAAUGCCCUGCUUCCAGGAAAAGCCUCUAAGCAUCAGGUAACAUCAAAUCGUACCCCAAACCGACACAGGUGGUCAGGUAGAGAAUACCAAGGCGCUUGAGAGAACUCGGGUGAAGGAACUAGGCAAAAUGGUGCCGUAACUUCGGGAGAAGGCACGCUGACACGUAGGUGAAGUGAUUUACUCAUGGAGCUGAAGUCAGUCGAAGAUACCAGCUGGCUGCAACUGUUUAUUAAAAACACAGCACUGUGCAAACACGAAAGUGGACGUAUACGGUGUGACGCCUGCCCGGUGCCGGAAGGUUAAUUGAUGGGGUCAGCGCAAGCGAAGCUCCUGAUCGAAGCCCCGGUAAACGGCGGCCGUAACUAUAACGGUCCUAAGGUAGCGAAAUUCCUUGUCGGGUAAGUUCCGACCUGCACGAAUGGCGUAAUGAUGGCCAGGCUGUCUCCACCCGAGACUCAGUGAAAUUGAACUCGCUGUGAAGAUGCAGUGUACCCGCGGCAAGACGGAAAGACCCCGUGAACCUUUACUAUAGCUUGACACUGAACAUUGAGCCUUGAUGUGUAGGAUAGGUGGGAGGCUUUGAAGUGUGGACGCCAGUCUGCAUGGAGCCGACCUUGAAAUACCACCCUUUAAUGUUUGAUGUUCUAACGUGGACCCGUAAUCCGGGUUGCGGACAGUGUCUGGUGGGUAGUUUGACUGGGGCGGUCUCCUCCUAAAGAGUAACGGAGGAGCACGAAGGUUGGCUAAUCCUGGUCGGACAUCAGGAGGUUAGUGCAAUGGCAUAAGCCAGCUUGACUGCGAGCGUGACGGCGCGAGCAGGUGCGAAAGCAGGUCAUAGUGAUCCGGUGGUUCUGAAUGGAAGGGCCAUCGCUCAACGGAUAAAAGGUACUCCGGGGAUAACAGGCUGAUACCGCCCAAGAGUUCAUAUCGACGGCGGUGUUUGGCACCUCGAUGUCGGCUCAUCACAUCCUGGGGCUGAAGUAGGUCCCAAGGGUAUGGCUGUUCGCCAUUUAAAGUGGUACGCGAGCUGGGUUUAGAACGUCGUGAGACAGUUCGGUCCCUAUCUGCCGUGGGCGCUGGAGAACUGAGGGGGGCUGCUCCUAGUACGAGAGGACCGGAGUGGACGCAUCACUGGUGUUCGGGUUGUCAUGCCAAUGGCACUGCCCGGUAGCUAAAUGCGGAAGAGAUAAGUGCUGAAAGCAUCUAAGCACGAAACUUGCCCCGAGAUGAGUUCUCCCUGAGACUUAGAGUCUCCUGAAGGAACGUUGAAGACGACGACGUUGAUAGGCCGGGUGUGUAAGCGCAGCGAUGCGUUGAGCUAACCGGUACUAAUGAACCGUGAGGCUUAACCUUACA
rnacentral:rRNA from 1 species